CUUGACCGAGCCGAGCCAGAGGGGUUCGCCCGCCCGUUCCUGGCCGUAGGUGGCCAGCAGGGCCUGUGCCUC
rnacentral:antisense_RNA from 15 species